UCUGUGAUGCCCUUAGAUGUUCUGGGCCGCACGCGCGCUACAAUGAUACACGCAACGAGUCCACCUUGCUCGAGAGGGCCUGGGUAAUCUUGUAAAUGUGUAUCGUAUUAGGGAUAGAUUUUUGCAAUUCUGAAUCUUGAACGAGGAAUUCCUAGUAAACGCGAGUCAUCAGCUCGCAUUGAUUACGUCCCUGCCCUUUGUACACACCGC
rnacentral:rRNA from 1 species